UUCGACCGAAGAGCGCAUGAGAUGUAUUAUCUAUUACCAUCAGAACGUAGAUAACAUACUCGCAUGGAAGAUUAUCCACAACCCGUUACUGGGUUAAUAAAGGAUAGAUCGACCGCAAGGAAAGGACAUCAGGAUACCGAAUACUGGGUAUACAAUGAUGACCAACCAAAGGGAGAAACAAUCAUUACCAAACCAGGGUAAAUGAAAGAUGACUCGUUGGGGAUAAAUUUCCUAAUUAGAGAAAUUAUCCAAGAGACAUAUCACCGGUGAAGGAAUAUUG
rnacentral:lncRNA from 1 species